rnacentral:rRNA from 1 species
GAUGAACGCUGGCGGCGUGCCUAAUACAUGCAAGUCGAGCGAACGGACGAGAAGCUUGCUUCUCUGAUGUUAGCGGCGGACGGGUGAGUACCACGUGGAUAACCUGUCUAUAAGACUGGGGUCACUUCGGGAAACCGGAGCUAAUACCGGAUAAUAUUGUGAACCGCAUGGUUCAUAAGUGAAAGAGGGUUCUGCUGUCACUUAUAGGUGGAUCCGCGCUGCAUUAGCUAGUUGGUAAGGUAACGGCUUACCAAGGCUACGAUGCAUAGCCGACCUGAGAGGGUGAUCGGCCACACUGGAACUGAGACACGGUCCAGACUCCUACGGGAGGCAGCAGUAGGGAAUCUUCCGCAAUGGGCGAAAGCCUGACGGAGCAACGCCGCGUGAGUGAUGAAGGUCUUCGGAUCGUAAAACUCUGUUAUUAGGGAAGAACAUAUGUGUAAGUAACUGUGCACAUCUUGACGUUACCUAAACAGAAAGCCACGGCUAACUACGUG